UUGUCUAAAGGAUUAAGCCAUGCAUGCGAAAGUAUAGGUUUUUUUAUGAAAUCGAAACUGCGAACGGCUCCUUAAAACAGUUAUAAUCUACUUGGAAUUUUUUUAUAGGGAUACCUACGGAAACGCUGUAGCUAAUACUUGUUGCCAUGCAUUUAUUGUGUGGCGUACUCGUUGGCUUUAGCGGUAUCGUGUAUUAAACCUGUGGAAUCACAACGAAGAAGUGACGCGUCUAUCUUUAAUAGAUGGUUAGCGCGUACCAAUCGAGUUUCUGAUCUAUCAGCUAUUCACGAAGGUAUUGUCUUGGUGAGGCUAUGACGGAUAACGGGGAAUUAGAGUUCGAUUCCGGAGAGGGCGCCUGAGAGAUGGCGACUAUAACUACGGUUAGCAGCAGGCGCGAAAAUUGCCCAAUGCCGACAAGGCGAGGCAGCGACCAGACAUACUGGUCUUCAGCCAUUAUAAUGGUUGAGGAACUGGAUUCGGCUCUCUUUAAAAGUGAGGGCGAGCGGAAGUUUAGAUCAAGUUGAAGUGCCAGCAUUCGCGGUAAUACUUCCUCAAACGAAUGUAUGUUAAAGUUGUUGCGGUUAAAACGCUCGUAGUUGAUUAUCUUCCACAGGCUGCUGUCCGGUUGCAUAUGAAGAAGUGCGUUUCUUUUAGAGAUGCGCUUUUUCUUAAUUGCGUACCAGACCACUGUGGCAUGACAUUGAUCUUUUCAAUUUUUGAUUGGAUCUGUCGUUACCUUGAGUAAAUUAGAGUGUUCAAAGCGGGCUUUUUCCGUUUGAAUAUCCCAGCAUGGAAUAACUGCAUUGCGCCUAGUUUAUAUAGUUGGCACGAGUGGCCGCGUAAACUGGGUGCCGAUUAAUAGGAGCAGUUGGGGGCAUCCGUACUCCGAAGCUAGAGGUGAAAUUCUGUGACUUUCGGAAGACGCUCGACUGCGAAGGCACUUGCCCAAAAUGCGUCCAUUAAUCAAGAGCGAAGUUAUGGGCAUCGAAAAAGAUCAGAGACCUUUGUAAUCCAUAAAGUAAACUAUGCCAUCCGGGGCGGAGCAGGCCACUCAGACGUGUUACAAAAUAAUAUGAGUUGUAUAUGUUCUUGUUUUUUUUUCUUGUAGUUUAGUUUCGGCUAAAUUGCGAGAGAGGGAAAUAUCCAUAUGCGUACUUAUAUAUAAUUUUUGUACCGUCGCAUGGGGUCUGUUCUGCCCCUGUGAGAAAUCUGAGAUUUUGGGUUCCGGGGCGAGUAUAAGCGCAAGCUAGAAAGUUAAAAGAAUUGACGGAGGGGCACCACAAAGCGUGGAGCUUGCGGCUUAAUUUGACUCAACACGGGAAACCUCACUAGUGUAAGACAGCGGUAGGAUUGACAGGUUUGCAGACCUUUCAUGAUUCGCUGGCGGGUGAUGCAUGGCCGUUCCUAGCUCUUGGCGUGGGCUGUCUGGUUAAUUCCGAUAACGAGCGGGACCUCCCCUUCCGUUUGUGCGGUCGCCAUUCCAUAAAAGGGAAGUAAUUUUUUGUGUAGGCUCUUGUUUUUUCUAGGGAAAGAAAUUUUUGCAUACUUCUGUGUGUAAAGGUUUUUUUUCUUAGUUAUAAGCAGAGUACCUUUAUCAAUUAAUUCUUUUCUUUUGGCGAUUUAAACUCAAAGCAGUACGGAGGGACGUCGCGUGUUUAACGCGAGGCAGGGAGGCAACAACAGGUCUGUGAUGUCCUCAGAUAUGCUAGGCUGCGCGCGUGCUACACUGGCGCGCACAACGGGCUAUUUUAUAAAAGAAUUCUUUUUUCUUUAGGGUUUCGGCUUUAAAGAUUUAAAGAAUCUUUUCCUCUCUCGAGAGAGCGGGGGAAUCCUGAAUGCGCGCCGUGACGGGGAUCGAAUCUUGCAAUUAGGAUUCUUGAACGAGGAAUGCUUAGUAAGCGCAACUCAUUAGGUUGCGCUGUAUGCGUAACUGCCCUUUGCACACACCGCCCGUCGUUGCUUUUAAUGGAGUGCAAAGUGACUUGUUUGGAGUGUACAAUCGGUACUCGACUGUCGCGAAGUACUGGAAACUUUGUACUCUAGAGAAAG
rnacentral:rRNA from 1 species